GGGUUGUGAGGUUAAGCGACUAAGCGUACACGGUGGAUGCCCUGGCAGUCAGAGGCGAUGAAGGACGUGCUAAUCUGCGAUAAGCGUCGGUAAGGUGAUAUGAACCGUUAUAACCGGCGAUUUCCGAAUGGGGAAACCCAGUGUGUUUCGACACACUAUCAUUAACUGAAUCCAUAGGUUAAUGAGGCGAACCGGGGGAACUGAAACAUCUAAGUACCCCGAGGAAAAGAAAUCAACCGAGAUUCCCCCAGUAGCGGCGAGCGAACGGGGAGCAGCCCAGAGCCUGAAUCAGUGUGUGUGUUAGUGGAAGCGUCUGGAAAGGCGCGCGAUACAGGGUGACAGCCCCGUACACAAAAAUGCACAUGCUGUGAGCUCGAUGAGUAGGGCGGGACACGUGGUAUCCUGUCUGAAUAUGGGGGGACCAUCCUCCAAGGCUAAAUACUCCUGACUGACCGAUAGUGAACCAGUACCGUGAGGGAAAGGCGAAAAGAACCCCGGCGAGGGGAGUGAAAAAGAACCUGAAACCGUGUACGUACAAGCAGUGGGAGCACGCUUAGGCGUGUGACUGCGUACCUUUUGUAUAAUGGGUCAGCGACUUAUAUUCUGUAGCAAGGUUAACCGAAUAGGGGAGCCGAAGGGAAACCGAGUCUUAACUGGGCGUUAAGUUGCAGGGUAUAGACCCGAAACCCGGUGAUCUAGCCAUGGGCAGGUUGAAGGUUGGGUAACACUAACUGGAGGACCGAACCGACUAAUGUUGAAAAAUUAGCGGAUGACUUGUGGCUGGGGGUGAAAGGCCAAUCAAACCGGGAGAUAGCUGGUUCUCCCCGAAAGCUAUUUAGGUAGCGCCUCGUGAAUUCAUCUCCGGGGGUAGAGCACUGUUUCGGCAAGGGGGUCAUCCCGACUUACCAACCCGAUGCAAACUGCGAAUACCGGAGAAUGUUAUCACGGGAGACACACGGCGGGUGCUAACGUCCGUCGUGAAGAGGGAAACAACCCAGACCGCCAGCUAAGGUCCCAAAGUCAUGGUUAAGUGGGAAACGAUGUGGGAAGGCCCAGACAGCCAGGAUGUUGGCUUAGAAGCAGCCAUCAUUUAAAGAAAGCGUAAUAGCUCACUGGUCGAGUCGGCCUGCGCGGAAGAUGUAACGGGGCUAAACCAUGCACCGAAGCUGCGGCAGCGACGCUGAUGCGUUGUUGGGUAGGGGAGCGUUCUGUAAGCCUGCGAAGGUGUGCUGUGAGGCAUGCUGGAGGUAUCAGAAGUGCGAAUGCUGACAUAAGUAACGAUAAAGCGGGUGAAAAGCCCGCUCGCCGGAAGACCAAGGGUUCCUGUCCAACGUUAAUCGGGGCAGGGUGAGUCGACCCCUAAGGCGAGGCCGAAAGGCGUAGUCGAUGGGAAACAGGUUAAUAUUCCUGUACUUGGUGUUACUGCGAAGGGGGGACGGAGAAGGCUAUGUUGGCCGGGCGACGGUUGUCCCGGUUUAAGCGUGUAGGCUGGUUUUCCAGGCAAAUCCGGAAAAUCAAGGCUGAGGCGUGAUGACGAGGCACUACGGUGCUGAAGCAACAAAUGCCCUGCUUCCAGGAAAAGCCUCUAAGCAUCAGGUAACAUCAAAUCGUACCCCAAACCGACACAGGUGGUCAGGUAGAGAAUACCAAGGCGCUUGAGAGAACUCGGGUGAAGGAACUAGGCAAAAUGGUGCCGUAACUUCGGGAGAAGGCACGCUGAUAUGUAGGUGAAGUCCCUCGCGGAUGGAGCUGAAAUCAGUCGAAGAUACCAGCUGGCUGCAACUGUUUAUUAAAAACACAGCACUGUGCAAACACGAAAGUGGACGUAUACGGUGUGACGCCUGCCCGGUGCCGGAAGGUUAAUUGAUGGGGUCAGCGCAAGCGAAGCUCUUGAUCGAAGCCCCGGUAAACGGCGGCCGUAACUAUAACGGUCCUAAGGUAGCGAAAUUCCUUGUCGGGUAAGUUCCGACCUGCACGAAUGGCGUAAUGAUGGCCAGGCUGUCUCCACCCGAGACUCAGUGAAAUUGAACUCGCUGUGAAGAUGCAGUGUACCCGCGGCAAGACGGAAAGACCCCGUGAACCUUUACUAUAGCUUGACACUGAACAUUGAGCCUUGAUGUGUAGGAUAGGUGGGAGGCUUUGAAGUGUGGACGCCAGUCUGCAUGGAGCCGACCUUGAAAUACCACCCUUUAAUGUUUGAUGUUCUAACGUGGACCCGUGAUCCGGGUUGCGGACAGUGUCUGGUGGGUAGUUUGACUGGGGCGGUCUCCUCCUAAAGAGUAACGGAGGAGCACGAAGGUUGGCUAAUCCUGGUCGGACAUCAGGAGGUUAGUGCAAUGGCAUAAGCCAGCUUGACUGCGAGCGUGACGGCGCGAGCAGGUGCGAAAGCAGGUCAUAGUGAUCCGGUGGUUCUGAAUGGAAGGGCCAUCGCUCAACGGAUAAAAGGUACUCCGGGGAUAACAGGCUGAUACCGCCCAAGAGUUCAUAUCGACGGCGGUGUUUGGCACCUCGAUGUCGGCUCAUCACAUCCUGGGGCUGAAGUAGGUCCCAAGGGUAUGGCUGUUCGCCAUUUAAAGUGGUACGCGAGCUGGGUUUAGAACGUCGUGAGACAGUUCGGUCCCUAUCUGCCGUGGGCGCUGGAGAACUGAGGGGGGCUGCUCCUAGUACGAGAGGACCGGAGUGGACGCAUCACUGGUGUUCGGGUUGUCAUGCCAAUGGCACUGCCCGGUAGCUAAAUGCGGAAGAGAUAAGUGCUGAAAGCAUCUAAGCACGAAACUUGCCCCGAGAUGAGUUCUCCCUGACCCUUUAAGGGUCCUGAAGGAACGUUGAAGACGACGACGUUGAUAGGCCGGGUGUGUAAGCGCAGCGAUGCGUUGAGCUAACCGGUACUAAUGAACCGUGAGGCUUAACCUUACAACGCCGAAGCUGUU
rnacentral:rRNA from 1 species